UACGUAGGUGGCAAGCGUUGUCCGGAUUUACUGGGCGUAAAGAGCGCGCAGGCGGUCGUUCAAGUCGCGUGUGAAAGCCCCCGGCUCAACUGGGGAGGGUCACGCGAUACUGAUCGACUCGAAGGCAGGAGAGGGUAGUGGAAUUCCCGGUGUAGUGGUGAAAUGCGUAGAUAUCGGGAGGAACACCAGUGGGGAAGGCGACUACCUGGCCUGUUCUUGACGCUGAGGCGCGAAAGCUAGGGGAGCAAACGGG
rnacentral:rRNA from 1 species